rnacentral:rRNA from 1 species
GAUGAACGCUAGCUACAGGCUUAACACAUGCAAGUCGCGGGGCAGCAUGGGGGUUGCUUGCCACCCCUGAUGGCGACCGGCGCACGGGUGAGUAACGCGUAUCCAACCUGCCCUUCACCACGGGAUAACCCGGCGAAAGUCGGACUAAUACCGUAUGUUGUCCAUUGACGGCAUCCGAUUUGGACGAAAGGCUUGGCGGUGAAGGGAUGGGGAUGCGUCCGAUUAGCUUGACGGCGGGGUAACGGCCCACCGUGGCUACGAUCGGUAGGGGUUCUGAGAGGAAGGUCCCCCACACUGGAACUGAGACACGGUCCAGACUCCUACGGGAGGCAGCAGUGAGGAAUAUUGGUCAAUGGGCGUAAGCCUGAACCAGCCAAGUAGCGUGCAGGAUGACGGCCCUAUGGGUUGUAAACUGCUUUUAUGCGGGGAUAAAGUGGCCCACGGGUGGGCUUUUGCAGGUACCGCAUGAAUAAGGACCGGCUAAUUCCGUG